rnacentral:rRNA from 1 species
GUCUACGGCCAUGCUACCCCGAACAAGCCUGAUCCUGUCUGAUCUCGGAAGCUAAGCAGGGUCAGGCCUGGUUAGUACUUGCAUGAGAGACCACCUAGGAAGACCAGGUGCUGUAGGUG